rnacentral:rRNA from 1 species
CGAUGUUUUGCUGCAGAGACAGCUAGGAUGUUAGCUUAGAAGCAGCUAUUCAUUCAAAGAGUGCGUAACAGCUCACUAGUCGAGCGGCAAAGCGUGGAUAAUAAACGGGCAUCAAGUAUACCACCGAAGUUCUGGGCACGAAAGUGCGGUAGGGGAGCAUUCCAUUCCGCGUUGAAGCCGAACCGUGAGGUUUGGUGGAGUGUAUGGAAAAGCAAAUGUAGGCAUGAGUAACGAUAAUGCGGGAGAGUAACCCGCACACCGCAAGACCAAGGUUUCCUGAUCAACGCUAAUCGGAUCAGGGUUAGUCGGGUCCUAAGGGUAAGCCGAACGGUGAUCUCGAUGGAUAAUCGGUUAAUAUUCCGAUACUGACAUAUACCUCGAUGGAGAGACGAAGGAACGUAAGUGCCGCCACCUGACGGAAUAGGUGGUUAAAGGGCUUAGGUAUAGGGGCAGAUUAAGAGUUAGUCCUUGCUGAAACCUGACAGUACAGAGAGCCUACGGGCAAUUUGAUAGUGCACCCAAGUCGACUUCCGAGAAAAUCUUCUAAGUUAUAGUAUAUGUCACCCGUACCGUAAACCGACACAGGUGGUCGAGGAGAGUAUCCUAAGGUGCUCGAGUGAAUCACGGUUAAGGAACUAGGCAAAUUAACCCCGUAACUUCGGGAAAAGGGGUCCCAUCGCGAGGUGGGCGCAGCGAAGAGGUCCAGGCGACUGUUUAUCAAAAACACAGGGCUCUGCAAAUUCGAAAGAAGACGUAUAGGGCCUGACACCUGCCCGGUGCUGGAAGGUUAAGAGGGGAUGUCAUCGCAAGAGAAGCAUUGAAUCGAAGCCCCAGUAAACGGCGGCCGUAACUAUAACGGUCCUAAGGUAGCGAAAUUCCUUGUCGGGUAAGUUCCGACCUGCACGAAUGGUGUAACGAUCUGGACACUGUCUCAACCGUGAGCUCGGUGAAAUUGUAGUCCCGGUGAUGAUGCCGGGUACCCGCAACGGGACGAAAAGACCCCGUGAACCUUUACUAUAGCUUAACGCUGAAUUUGGGUACACAAUGUGUAGGAUAGGCAGGAGACUACGAAGCGGGCACGCCAGUGUUCGUGGAGUCGACGUUGAAAUACUGCCCUUUGUGUACUUGAGUUCUAACCCUCGAGAGGGGACACCGUUUGGUGGGUAGUUUGACUGGGGUGGUCGCCUCCAAAAGAGUAACGGAGGCUUCCCAAGGUACCCUCAGCACGAAUGGUAACCGUGCGUAGAGUGCAAUAGCAUAAGGGUGCUUGACUGUGAGACCAACAAGUCGAUCAGGUGCGAAAGCAGGGUAUAGUGAUCCGGUGGUUCUGCGUGGACUGGCCAUCGCUCAAAGGAUAAAAGGUACUCCGGGGAUAACAGGCUGAUCGCCGCCAAGAGCUCAUAUCGACGCGGCGGUUUGGCACCUCGAUGUCGGCUCGUCACAUCCUGGGGCUGGAGAAGGUCCCAAG